CUGCUUUGGCAGUACAUAUAUUAAAAUUGGAAGGAUAUAAAGAUUAGCAUGGCCCCUGAGCAAGGAGCAUGCAAAUUUGUGAAGCAUUCCAUAUUUUU